UUUGUGUACGCGUGAAAUAGACAUUUGAGUAAAAAACCCGAAACCCAUCCUUAAGCGGAAGGAGAAAAGAGAAAGGACAACCAAGGACGCGGAAGAAGAAGCUUCUCCACCGGCUCUCUUCUACUUACAGCUCAGUUACUCUACCGUGUUUGUUCUCUGAUCGGAGUUGAUUCCGACGGUGUCGGAGAUGGAUCAAUUCGCUGUUGCAGCGUUAACGUGGACGAUCGCCGCAAGCCCCUGGAGUUUCUCAAGUCGCGGGUCGGACUUGAUUACGGAGCUACGGACUCGUUCUGGUGCGGUUGAUACCCUCUCCGGCGCUGAUUUGGACGGAUUCAGCGCCGAUUAUGUCCUCGAAUGCGUGAAAUCCGAUACGACGACACGAGGAACUAAAUCCAAGAUUCCAUGGUAGAACGACCUUGGAUAUACUCUGUAUCACUGGAAAAUCGUUUGAAGCAAUCCAGGAAGGAGGAUAGAGUCCGAAUCAGGAGAUUUCAUAUUCUCUCGUCUCGAAUCCAGAAUCCAGACAUGGCAGGAUCCCCUCCUAGGGGUAUGCCUCCCCCUCCAGUUAACGUGAAAAAAUGCCGGUGACAACGAGUCUUAUAAUGGUUCUACAUCCCGAGUCAUAGUUUCAAUCACUUCGUAUUCGUUCCUCCUUUACCAGAUUUGUCUUGCUGCCUUCCGCCAACUAAGUGGCUGAAUUGUUAUCUGGAUUUGCUUGGGUUUCAAAUCGGUUAUGUGAGAAUCCCACAUGCAAGUCCUGAUGUUGUCCUGUCCGCCCUUCUGUCAAAUUACAUUAGAUAUAGAAACAACAUCUGAUUCUAUCA